rnacentral:misc_RNA from 1 species
AAACCACAAAGUUCCUCUGAACCCAAGCAUAAUCAAUCUUCUCUUUACUUGAUAGGUGCCAAGUAUUAUUCUGAUCCCACCAGUGCUGUGUGGUGGAUGAAGCACAAGCAGGGUAAGGGUUUUUCCAUGGACAAGCGUCUAUGGUAAAAUCCUUAUAAGAUGCUACAAAUGGUGCAUUUUCCCAGUUUAUCUUGUCCAAGCCUCCUCUAGUAGCCCAAUUAUCUGCAUUCCAUAUGCUUGAAAACACGUACAUCGGCCUCUGGGCUGGAAAGAAAUUGUUUGUGUGAUUCGCGUUCUUGUAUACCCUUAUUGGUACUUUAUCCACAAAAAAUACAAUUUGAUGAGAGUUCCAAAGAAUGGAAUAAGUAUGAAAGUCGA